rnacentral:snoRNA from 3 species
UGGACCAAUGAUGAUGACUGGUGGCGUAUGAGUCAUGGAUGAUGAUGAAUAACAUGUGUCUGAAACUCUGAGGUCCAA